rnacentral:misc_RNA from 1 species
AGUCGUAACAAGGUUUCCGUAGGUGAACCUGCGGAAGGAUCAUUAAGAAUUGAUAAUAUUUGUGAAAUUUACACAGCAAACAAUAAUCAUACAAUCAAAACAAAAAUAAUCAAAACUUUUAACAAUGGAUCUCUUGGUUCUCGUAUCGAUGAAGAACGCAGCGAAACGCGAUAUUUCUUGUGAAUUGCAGAAGUGAAUCAUCAGUUUUUGAACGCACAUUGCACUUUGGGGUAUCCCCCAAAGUAUACUUGUUUGAGCGUUGUUUCUCUCUUGGAAUUGCAUUGCUUUUCUAAAAUUUCGAAUCAAAUUCGUUUGAAAAACAACACUAUUCAACCUCAGAUCAAGUAGGAUUACCCGCUGAACUUAAGCAUAUCAAUAA